CGGUGCAAACGAUCGCCUCGUCCGAGUCGACUCAUCGGGCUCCUAUAAAAGACCACAAGCCGACGCACCGUGCACGGGACGAGCGACGAGCGAUCCCUAGCGUUUCAGCUGCCGGCGACGCUGGCCGAGCCGCUUCCGUUGGACAACUGUCGAUGGCACUGGAAACAGGACAUGAUUUGUUAACUGAACUGAGAUUCAUGGAGCUUGCCUUGGAGCAGGCCAGGUUUGCUCUCGAAAACCUAGAAGUUCCAGUUGGAUGUGUUAUUGUGGAGGAUGGAAAAGUCAUAGCCUCGGGUAGCAACCGUACCUCAGCAACACGAAAUGCUACUAGACAUGCAGAAAUGGAAGCUAUUGAUGCGUUACUUGAGGAGUGGCAAAAGAUUGGUCUUGGUCAAUCAGAAGUUGCAGAGAAAUUUUCAAGAUGUGAUCUAUAUGUUACAUGUGAACCAUGCAUAAUGUGUGCAACGGCUUUGUCCAUUCUUGGAAUAGGAAAAGUAUUUUACGGUUGUUCCAAUGAUAAAUUUGGAGGUUGUGGAUCUGUCUUAUCCCUACAUGAAAGUGCUUCUGAAAAAUUGUCCAGAGGUGAUUUACAAGCAAAGAGUUUCAAAUGUACUGGAGGUCUAAUGUCAGAAGAAGCUGUUGCACUUUUCCGAAAUUUCUAUGAACAAGGAAAUCCCAAUGGUCAUUUACAUAUGAUUUAAGCUGCUUUUAGUCUCUCGCUGGAGUCUAUGCAUUGAAAGGUUCUAUUCAGGGGACCUGGACAUGGAAAUGCAUCCUUGAAGAGUUUAUGAUUUGUACAGCCUGGUAAAGAACACUUCCAUGCCUUCUCUUUGAGCCCUAUGUAUGCCUGCAAUUCACAGGAAAACUAGCAAGCAGAAACUUCGAUCACUCCUUGAUGCUAAAAAGGCAAUGCUUCAUUCACAAUGAAGCCCAUCCUGAAAGCCAAGACCACAAGACUUGCCAUGAAACUUAUUGAGAGCUCAAACAACACAAAAUACAAGCAUCUGUACCACAAAAUAAAGAUCAGAAAGGAACUGAUCUCGUUCGGCGGAGCUGGUAUUUUGUUUCUGGUUGUGGUUCAUGAAUUGCUGAUUCCAAUUCCUGCAAAUAAAACAAAGGAGGGAGAUCUUGUUCUCCAGCUCAUUCAUGUAAGCCUGUGUAAAGAGUGAAGCAACCUUAAAACGGAGAAGAGGAAGCCAACACCUUGCCUUCGCUGUAGAUGACUCCACGGUGGGGAAGUAGAGUGACCCACCUGCUUCCUUGCUCGCGACCGUGCAGCUGACUCCCGGUUCUUGAUCAGCCUCUUGUGCCUCCUUUCCGUGGUCUUCUCUGAGACUUCUCCUCCUGCCGCCCUCUUCCGCCCUGGCGUCUGCGGAUCGGACGUCGCUGGGUUGUCACUGGCCAACGCUGAAGCUUGCAGCUGUUGAUGAUGGUGAUCACAAUGGCGAUGCUGCAACCAGUGCUCGCGAGGCAUGAAGGCAAUACAAGAGUCUUCAGCUCCCACCUCGGCAUUCACCAGGAAGUCUUCUAGGAUCAUCUCACCCAGCGCAGGCUGCUGCUCUCUACUCUCCUUCCUCCUCCGUUGUCGGAUGUCCCUCUCCACCUCGUCCGCCAUCGUCCUGUUCACUGCAUGAGGCGCCGGAAUGCUUCCCUCGCAGCCGCAGCCUCUGUCGGCUUCCAUCAUUGCCCGGUUCAUAGGCCCACCCUGGCGGCUUUGGAGCUCACCAAUCUCUGUCGGUCGCCACCGCCCUCAGUUGCCCUCGUCCCGAACCUCAUUCAUCAACUUCCUUUGCUCUCAGUGCUCGACCAAAUCCACCAAAGAUUGCACGCAAGACUCGACACCCCUCCGAUCUGCAAGACCAAAACAAAACAUCCAAUGAAGAGGAACUAAUCAAAUCCAAGAUUGUAAUCAGCCAGAGGAACACAGAAGACAUCUGAACUGGUCUUCUGCAGGAGUUCUCCCACCUGAAUUCUCAAUUCUACACCAAGGAGCUCUCUCUCCUACAUAAGCUUUUAUGGACUCCUCGUCCUUGAGCCGUGAGGAGAUGCCAUUGCUCAGUGCAAGGACACGUCCGAGAACCGCUCAUCUUUAUUCCAGUGGAGCAGCAACUAGACCAUGAACCUCCCUCGUCAUUGGUUGGUUCCGCCCUUUUAUCUCCCGUCCUCUUCCUCAAAGUACAGUGCUCCCGGUGCAGAAAGGACAAUGGAUCUGAAACCCACCUCUCGAACGCCGGUUUUCUAAUGCUAGGGGAUGACCUUGAUCUGAGAAAGGUCAAGUUCAAGGUCAAGCAUGCGAGUUCCCAUGAACGCAGGUACGGCCUUCAUCUACCUUGGUAAUCGCCUGCACAAUUAGCUUAAAUGACAGGUGCGCCUCUGUGUAAUGCCAUUGGAGUCUGUCCUCGCAUCGGAGAGCACUUCUCUGAGCUGCCACGCCACAAAGGCCUAAAUCAGCAGACACCGGAGGACAAGGCCAUCGAAGUAGGCGACGAGCAGAUUAAAAUGGUCUCCCUUCACUAAGACGUACCCCGAGAUGAUGGCGACGUGAGCAACAUUGGAGUGGCCUGUUUUGGCAUAUGCAAGGUUAGCCCAAGCCAGAUGAAAAGGUCACCAGACCAGAGUGCUUGUGUCGAAGACAUCCGCUCGUCGUCAUCAUGCGUCGAACAAUUCCAUCCAAUGACCGAAAGAGAAGUUCGAUCGAUGACUGAGGAGAUGGUUGAAGGAGCUUACACCAUCAAAGCGACUGAAGAACCUGUCUUAGCUUCCUAAUCUGUGAGUUCCAUUUACUGCUUGCCAUUUUGAAUGCACAAGAACAUGCGUCAAUGAAUUAACAUUUUCAUAAAUGUCAUAAAUUGAGACAACAUCAGAAUAGAAAAAAAAAAGAAUUUUAAAUCGGAACAAUAUUGCUGUUUCUU